CCAUAACGAUGUUGAACCAACACUGCAAACAUUCAUAUCUUUCCUGUGUACAUAACGUCUAAUUUAUCAAUAUACCGACGUCACAAUAUUAUGUUUGUGACGUACCUGCCAGUUGCAUUAUGACGCAAUAUACCCCAAUCAUGACACAACAAAAUUAACAAAUGGAUAAUUUUUUACCAAAUUUUGUCAAAAUUAAAAUGUCGCCUCAAACCAAAGCCAGAAACGUGAGGUUUGUGAACAACAACACACAAAUGCAAGAAUAUGUUUUGAUUAAAAUGCUGCGGUAUGCUGCCACCAAGUGCCCAGAAGACGACUUUGAAAGAAUUUGUCAAAAAUUUAAAAUAAAUGGUGAUGACGUCACAACUAUAAUGUCACAAGAAGGCAAGAGUUUUCGGGAUCGUUUAUUUAAAUUGUUUACAAUUUGGCGAGAAAGGUAAAAAAAUGCAAAAAUAUUGAUAAUAUUUUAACCCCCUUCCCCUAGACAGCCCGUCGCACCAGAUGUUGUUCAGCAAAAGUUUAUUCACGCGAUAGACUUGGUCGACCUUCCAAGACUUGUGUCUCAACUGCGAGCCAUCACAACUUAUACAAAAGCAACUCGACUGUAGCGUUCGUUGUUCAAUAUAUUUACCAAACGCUCAGAACCUCAAA